GAAGAAAAUUGAUUGCUUAAUUUUUAUUAACAGAAUGCAAGAGAAUCGUGAAGCCCUGCUGUGAACCAAAAUGAGACAAAGAGGGGGAACGCAGAGAGGACUCCAGGUGGCAGGAGUGUGUGUGCACACACAUGUGCAGUCCUCCACAGAGGCUGAGGAGAGGCCAGUGGAUAGGUGAGUCGGGGACUCGGGAAGGAAGGCUAACAGACAAAGAUAGCCAGAGCUGAGCAGAUGUGCCUGUAGAGGAAGGACACGGAUGUCUGGAACUCAUGCAUCUCAGCUGGGAAGGCAGGCUGAGCUCGUCCUGCACUCUACCUGACAGGGAUCCCAUCCUUGCUAGGUUGACGAUCUCCGAGAUGUGGAGUGAAAGGAAAAAUGACUCGGAAAGAGAAGGCCCUGGAAGUCCGAUCGUCAUCACACAGGCUUCCGCUGCCAGCCGAUGGGGCAGAUGCAGAGACCUACAACCAAACCUUAGGCGGAUAGAGGCCCCAAACUGAAGAUCUCCCUCAGGCUCCUCCUCUUGGGGCUCAGGGAACCCCCGCAGAAGAGGGGAAGGAAGGAUUGCAGGAGCCAGAGGGUUGAGGAUACCAGGAGAACAAGGCCCACAGAAUCAACUAAGCAGGGCUCGUAGCAGCUCACAGAGACUGAAGCAGCGAUCAUGGAGCCUGCAUGGGUCUGUGCUAGGUCCUCAGCAUAUAUGACAAUGGUUUUUAGCUAGGUGUUUUUGUGGGAUUCCUAGCAGUGGAUGUAGGAUUAUCUCAAUUCUUUCAUCAGCUCCUGGGACUCUUUUCCUUCUAUGCCUUGCUUCCCCCAGCCCUGAUAGGAGGCUUUGUGCCUAGUCUUACGGUACCUUGUUACAUAGUGUUCAGCCCAUAUCCCUGGGAGACUGCUGUUUUCUGGAGGGAAAUGAAGGAAGAGUGAAUCUGGGGAAGAGGGAAGGUUGGGGGAGGCUGGGAGGAGUCGAAGGAUAGUAAAUUGGGAACUGCGGUUGGAAAACAAAAAAUAAAUUAAAAAGAGAGACAUUCUGAUGACAACGCCAUAGCAUCACUGCAGGACUGUCCCCUGCCUCCUUAGUGUAGCUCCACACUGCCAACUGUCCCUGGGGACCUGGCAGUGUCUGGCUCCCUCUGUAAGGGGCACUCACGAUCGAAUGUGCCCAGAUCUCAGACAGUGCAUUCUCUCCCAUUGAUUCCAAACUCCAGAACUCCCUCCUAUUUGGCUUCUUGAUUCUGGGGAUCAAGUUCGUAGUUUACUCAUAGUAUACAUGAUGUGAAGUGGGUUUUGUUAAAAUUGUGACAGGCUCCUUAAAACAAAACAACAAAACAGAACAGAACAGAACAAACAAAAACAGCGUUGAGCCUCUCAAUUUCCUUCUCUGAGAAAGGAAGGGAAAGCACACAAAGCCGAAUUCUAUGCCAACCGGUGAGGAUGAUGUGCCUAUGGUCGCGUUACAAUUUAGCUGAUAAAUGAGAUUCCCGCAAUGCAGGAGGGGAGGCGUAAUAUGGCACGAUCAUCUCUAAAAGAGAGUAGGACAAAGUAAGCUUGACUUAUGAAACCUUCCAGGAUAUGUGAAAAUAUUCACAUUAUAAAUGUCCUAUUCCCUAGGCAAGAUGGCACAUGUCUGUGUCUCAUAACUCUUGGAGGUCGAAGCAAGGUGGGGUGGGGUGGGGGUCGCUCCUGCAGUUGAGGCCAGUCUGAGCUCCACCCUGAAAGCCUGUCUCACAACAAAGUUUUAAACAAACAAACAAACCAGACUGCUAUCACGUCGUGGUAUGUGAUAUGCUCCACCAAGGGAGAAGAAAGAGGGAAAAAGAGAAAUUUAGGGGAAAAUGAAAGAACAGGGGGGGCUUUGCUAAUGUAUACCAAGGUAAGCUAAGCAUGAUGGAGCUGGGUGUAUGAUUUUUUUUUCUCUUUCCCAUUUCUUCCUGCCUGAUUUUGCUGAAGUAGUCAUGGCUACUUACAAGUCAGAAAGCAAAAUUUUAAUGUUCUUAGGUUGGAAAGAAAUAUAUACAAAUUUUCCAAAAUAUAUACAAAUAUAUAUACAAAUACAUAUACAAAUAUAUGUACAAAUUUUCCAAAACUAAUUAGGGACACCAAUUAGGGAAAGUUAUCUUAUUAAAUUGCAACACAAAUGACUUCUGACAGGUGGUGUUUGAUCAUAAACCCAUUGAUAGAAGAUGAUACUGGUGAGGCUGUGUCCUAAUAAACCCAUGACAUGUUGAAUAUACCAAACUCAGGAGUGCAUCGAAUUGCUGGGUAUGGUGGCCCACAUCUGUAAUCUCAGCACUUUGGACACUGUGGCAAUAAAAUCGCCACUUGAAGGCCAGCUUUGGAUGCCUAAGACUUCAUCUCUAAAGAACCAACAAACAAAAAAGUGCCAUUACAGAGUGAUGACAGCAUAGAGACACAGCGUACCUCGGAGGCUCCCUUGUCCCCCUGCCCCAUUACUGAGCUGGCUCAGAACUGUAGCUCACCAGUGCUGCCUGUCACAAAGGGAAGGACCCAAGGAUGCAUUGCUGCUGGCCAGGGAAGAGAUCAGAAUUCAAAAUCCCAGUUGCCCAGUGCCUGUUGCUGUCACAGCAGAGUGACGAGGAAAUGUGGAAAGUGGACCCACCGUGGGUCAGGAACUGCCUGUGGUUUGAAAUAUGUGGCUCCGCGUCAGGUGGUGAGGGCUGCGAUUCCAUGAUUAGCCUCCCAGAGGCUUCAGUUCAUCAUGCUUCUCCCACAUUGUUGGGUAUCACCAGGCUCCCUGGCUCUCCUGACUCCGUUCCCCUUUUCUGAGCUUGGUUGAGUCUGUAAUUGGAUAUUUUCUGAGGACCAACGGCCUUUACACUGCCCUUUGCCCAUGUGGCUCUCGUAAGUUGUUCUGUAACCGAAAAUAUGCAAAGAGAUGCUCACUCGGGCUGCCCACACACACCCGAGCCAGCCCCAAAUUGUUCUCCGCAGAGAAAACGCCUGAACUUGAGGUGGCAGGUUUACCUCAAAGUAUGAUCCCUAGCCUCAAGAUCUCUCUCUUCCAACUGUGUCAGAAAUUCGAGAGAUGUGAGCCAAUGUUCCUAGUUGUCUCAAAUUAUAGCAUCGUCCUCCCUGACUCAGAGCAGGCAGUACAUGAAUUCCCAGAAUAUUUGGAUAGUAUCUCAAGGCAUGAGCUGACCCAGGUAUCUACCCAUCGGACUUGUUAAUACAGACAGCAGGUAUCCACGGGCUUUCCAGAACUCAGGGAUUUUCUCUGUUGACUCUGAGAGUCUGGGAAUGACAUCCCUCUAGGUUCAUCUGAAGCUAGGCAGAGGAGGCCGUUGCUGAGUCCCAGUUACACAGCAAUUUAUGUGUGUGGCUUGGCCAGAGACUUUUUUAAAAGACAGGGUCAUACUAUGUAGUCCAGGCUAGCCCUGAACCUACGAACUUGCUGCCUCUGCUUCCUGAGUGCUGGGAUUGAAGGCAUGCAUACUUUCUCAUUCUCUCUCUCUCCUCUGUGUGUGUGUGUGUGUGUGUGUGUGUGUGUGUGUGUGUGUGUGUGUGUGUGUCUGUGUCUGUGUCUGUGUCUGUGUCUGUGUCUGUAUUUGUGUAUGUAGGCAUAUAUACUUACAUCUAAUAGACCCCAAAGGAAACUUUUACCCCACAUCAUCUGAAGGAUGGAUAAGUACAUGGCUAUUUCUACUCAAGGGAAUACUUUUCUUUUCUCAUCAGAGCACUGGGGGGUUGAACCUAGAGCCUUACAAGGUCCUAACCUAAUAUUCUAAGCCAACACUCUACCACUGAGCUAUAUUCCCAGACCCUUUCUUUUAAACUUUAAUUUUGACAUGGGGUCUCACUAAGGUGUCCUGGCUGACCUUGGACUUGGACUUGUAAUCAUUCUUCCUCAGAUUCCCAAGCAGCUAAGCUAUAGGUCUAAGCAAGUGAGCUGAGGUAAGGGUACAUGACAGGAAAGAGCAACCACGAUCAGUCCCAUGAUGGGUGGAUCUCCCAGAUCUGAUGCUAGGUAGGUGUGACAGAUGUUGAAGCAUGUAUACAUCAUCUACGUGUGAACACUUACAUCAUGAUUAUAAAGAACAAAAGCAAUCAAUAGACCUACAGUGGUAGAAUGCAUGUUCUUCAUCUUGGUGGAUGAAGGGACUUCUAGGGGUUACAGAUGGCGUCUCUGAAGAGAUACUAGUUCAUAUUUAAAGAGCCUUCAAAGCCAUAUCCUCAGGCCACGUGCACUUGGGUGGACAUGUCUAAAUUUGCUCAAUAUGCCUCAAUAAAAAUUACAUAUAAUAAAAA